UACGGAGGGUGCAAGCGUUAUCCGGAUUCACUGGGUUUAAAGGGUGCGUAGGUGGAUUAGUAAGUCAGUGGUGAAAUCUCCGGGCUUAACCCGGAAACUGCCAUUGAUACUAUUAGUCUUGAAUACCGUGGAGGUCAGCGGAAUAUGUCAUGUAGCGGUGAAAUGCUUAGAUAUGACAUAGAACACCAAUUGCGAAGGCAGCUGGCUACACGAAUAUUGACACCCAGGCACGAAAGCGUGGGGAUCAAACAGG
rnacentral:rRNA from 1 species